GAUGAACGCUGGCGGCGUGCUUAACACAUGCAAGUCGAACGGUGAACCCGGAGCUUGCUCUGUGGGAUCAGUGGCGAACGGGUGAGUAACACGUGAGCAACCUGCCCCUGACUCUGGGAUAAGCGCUGGAAACGGCGUCUAAUACUGGAUAUGUGACGUGACCGCAUGGUCUGCGUUUGGAAAGAUUUUUCGGUUGGGGAUGGGCUCGCGGCCUAUCAGCUUGUUGGUGAGGUAAUGGCUCACCAAGGCGUCGACGGGUAGCCGGCCUGAGAGGGUGACCGGCCACACUGGGACUGAGAAACGGCCCAGACUCCUACGGGAGGCAGCAGUGGGGAAUAUUGCACAAUGGGCGCAAGCCUGAUGCAGCAACGCCGCGUGAGGGAUGACGGCCUUCGGGUUGUAAACCUCUUUUAGCAGGGAAGAAGCGAAAGUGACGGUACCUGCAGAAAAAGCGCCGGCUAACUACGUG
rnacentral:rRNA from 1 species